rnacentral:rRNA from 1 species
AUGAUGACCGCCACCCAGCCCCUCCGCGGCGCCCUGCUCCUGCUCCCGGCGCUCCUCGUCGCCGGCGUCGCGGGCGGGGCGCCGUCGCUGGAGUUCCACCACCGGUUCUCCGCGCGCGUGCGGCGCUGGGCGGACGCCCGCGGGCACGAGCUGCCCGGAGGCUGGCCGGCGCCCGGCGGCGCCGCGUACGUCGCCGCGCUCGCCGGCCACGACCGCCACCGGGCGCUGUCGGCCGCCGGAGGAGGGGGCCGCCCGCCGCUCACCUUCUCCGAGGGCAACGCCACGCUGAAGGUCAGCAACCUCGGAUUCCUGCACUAUGCGCUGGUGACGGUGGGCACGCCGGGGCACACGUUCAUGGUGGCGCUCGACACCGGCAGCGACCUCUUCUGGCUCCCCUGCCAGUGCGACGGCUGCACGCCGCCGCCCUCUUCGGCCGCCUCCGCACCGGCUUCGUUUUACAUCCCUUCUCUGUCAUCAACAAGCCAGUCAGUUCCUUGCAAUAGUGACUUUUGCGGUCUUAGAAAAGAAUGCUCUACAACAUCAAGUUGUCCAUACAAGAUGGUGUAUGUCUCUGCAGACACAUCAUCUUCUGGAUUUCUUGUUGAGGAUGUGCUUUACCUAUCAACAGAGGAUACUCGCCCUCAAUUUCUCAAGGCACAAAUAAUUUGCGGAGAGGUUCAGACUGGCUCAUUUCUGGAUGCUGCUGCUCCAAACGGUCUUUUUGGACUUGGGGUGGACAUGAUAUCAGUUCCUAGCAUUCUAGCUCAGAAAGGUCUGACAUCAAAUUCCUUCUCAAUGUGUUUUGGCCGUGACGGUAUUGGGAGGAUCAGUUUUGGAGACCAAGGCAGCACAGACCAAGAGGAAACACCACUUGACAUCAAUCAGAAACACCCCACAUACGCUAUCACCAUCACUGGCAUUGUUGUUGGAAAUAACAUAAUGGAUUUGGAAGUUAGUACUAUUUUCGACACAGGGACAUCCUUCACAUACUUGGCAGACCCAGCAUAUACAUAUAUAACAGAUGGUUUCCAUAAUCAAGUUCAAGCCAAUCGCCAUGCCGCUGACUCAAGAAUCCCCUUCGAAUAUUGCUACGAUCUGAGCUCUAGUGAGGCAAGGAUUCAAACUCCUAGUAUAAGUCUUAGAACAGCAGGUGGGAGCCUGUUCCCUGCUAUUGAUCCAGGGCAGGUUAUCUCCAUUCAGCAACAUGAGUAUGUUUAUUGCUUGGCGAUUGUCAAGAGCACGAAGCUAAACAUAAUUGGACAAAACUUCAUGACCGGUGUCCGCGUUGUAUUCGACCGAGAAAGGAAGAUACUUGGCUGGAAGAAAUUCAACUGUUAUGACACCGAUAGCUCAAACCCUCUCUCCAUCAACUCACGGAACUCGUCGCGCUCGACGCCCGAGAACUACUCUCCCCAGGAGACGAAGAACCCAGCCGGUGCUUCCCAGUUGAGGCACGUCAGCAGCUCCCCUCCUGUGGUGUGGUGGCACAAUAAUAGCCUACUUUUGUUUAUGUUUGUGUUCCUCCAUUGCCCAAUCUUCUAA